AACGAACGCUGGCGGCAGGCUUAACACAUGCAAGUCGAACGCGUGCAGCAAUGCACGAGUGGCUCCCGGGUGGGUAACGCGUGGAUAUCUGCCUUUUGGUUCGGAAUAACCCCGGGAAACUGGGGCUAAUACCGGAUGGUUCCUACGGGAUAAAGAUUUAUCGCCAAAAGAUGAGUCCGCGUCCGAUUCGCUAGUUGGUGAGGUAAUGGCUCACCAAGGCGACGAUCGGUAGCUGGUCUGAGAGGACGAUCAGCCACACUGGGACUGAGACACGGCCCAGACUCCUACGGGAGGCAGCAGUGGGGAAUAUUGGACUAUGGGGGCAACCCUGAUCCAGCCAUGCCGCGUGAGUGAUGAAGGCCUUCGGGUUGUAAAGCUCUUUUGGCGGGGACGAUGAUGACGGUACCCGCAGAAUAAGCCCCGGCUAACUUCGUG
rnacentral:rRNA from 1 species